CACACUCACAGGAACAUCGUCUACCGGUGUCUCCUUCCUACUCGCCUCUUUUUUCCCCUAGACACAAGACCAGCGACUGACUUGUUCGUUUGCUGGCACAAUUUCUUUAUUAUUUAUCCCCUCUACACCCUCGCCAUUCAUUAGAACUCUCACCCAACCCAAUUUUCCUUGUUUACUGGUAAUUUUCACGGAAGCAGAUUUGAUUUCCGACCUUUAGGAGGAUUUUCUAACCAAGCGCCAAAGUUGUCGUUUUAAGAAGGACUUGUUGUUAUUCUUUACGGCUGUGUGCCCGAGUGUUAAGUAAAGGAUCAUGGAGGAUGCCCAGUUGUAUGUGUCAGCCAAUGCCCUUCAGCGCCGAGACGCCCUGGUGGUGCUGACGGAGUACCUGCCGCAGAUGGUAUGGCAGGAGGAGGGUGAAGCUGUACUCGACGUGGGUUGUGGCUCAGGAGACGUGACACGGAACUUACUGAUGCCACUGCUGCCCAGAGUCGAACAGGUUGUUGGGGUAGACGUGUCGACAGAGAUGGUGAACUUCGCCUCUAAGACCUUUCAACACAACUCCCUCUCCUUCCAGCACCUGGAUAUAGAGAGAGGAGUUCAGCCCCGUCAGAUAUUUCCAGAUGGCUUUACCAAGGUGUUUUCCUUCUACUGUUUACACUGGGUGAAGGAACAGGAGUCGUGUUUAGGCAAUAUCUUCCAGCUUCUGCAGCCAGGAGGGGAGGCGCUGUUGGUGUUCCUCGCCCGUAACCCUCUGUUUACCGUCUAUCAGAAUAUGAGCGAGAAGACCCAGUGGCAACCUUACAUGCAGGACGUCACCAGCUUUAUCUCGGUCUACCAACACAAGACUGAUCCUGCCCAGGCUAUGAUGGACGCUGCUGAGGACGUCGGCUUCGAGAUCGUCUCCUGCGAAGCUCCUCAGUUCGAGUUUGUCUUCGAGAACAUCAACUACCUGAGGAAUGCUAUCAAGGCUGUGAAUCCUUUCCUCAAACGCAUCCCUCGUCAGCAGCAAGACACCUUCCUGAUGGAGUGCCUCUCUGAGCUGGCUAAACUGAAGACCCAGGCAGAGGAUGGUAAGACCGUGGCUCGUUAUAACCUCAUGAUAGCUCACCUGCAGCGUCCUGAGUGAUGACCUGUGGUGGUGAUGACUUCGAGGUGGCGAGUACGUCAAAGUGAUGAUGACUUCGAGAGUGAGGUGUGGCACUGGCGGGUCACCUCAAAGAGAUUUGGACCAACACGGAAUUUGUGACGAAUACAGAAUACAAUUUAUGCAGGUUGAGAGCACUAACUUAGUUGGGAAUAGUUAGUAAUCAUUAGUGAAGAAACCAAUAAUAAAAUACUGAGAAUUAGUGAAUCAGGGGAAAAAUAUUAUUACACGAAAAACUUAUUAACCGCAAAAGGUAGACGAAGAACAGGUAAAAUAUUACACGGCAAACGUGUAAAUACGUAGCUGAAAAUGUAGACGUGUUAGCACUCAGUGGAGUAAGACCAAUACAUCAACAAAGAAUCUAGAAUUGAUGGACCAACUUAAUAGUGGCUAUCAGAUCGUCUCCAAUAUGAUGGAAAAAUAACAAUAACGAAUAUUUAUAGUGUCAUUGCUGCAAUAUUAGGUAGGCUGGUAGAUAUAGCUUAUGAAACUUGUGUGACGCUGCCUUUGAUGGAGAACACUCAUGCACACUGUCCCUCAAUACUGAACAUACUUCACCUCGUAUUCUGAGUUAAUAUCCUAAAAGGUUCAUACGUUAAGCUUCUCUCUCGCCGGUUAUUCCGAAAACCACGUAACUGAUUCAUGGAAGAUACAUGUAGAGCACAAAGACGGCAGAGUGAGUAAAGUAAAUAUUGCACUAGACUUGUCCUGUAAGUAGUAAUGGCGCUCUUUUAUACUUGGUUAAUGGUGAAAAUUUUAUGUACUUAGGUAUGUAUCUGUGAACAUGGACCUUAGUCAAUGGGACCAGGACUGUCAGGACACCAGGUGACCAACAAGUGCUUCACAUUGUCAGUGGUCAAUAAGUGAUGACAUUUCAUAAGUAUCUUUCACGCAAAAACAUCAUGGGGUACUGGUAAAUGGUGUUGUCUGGUGGGUGUUGACAAAGCCUUCCUCAAGUUUUAUUGGAAAUUUAGAAGACAGGAGAUUGAAUGGUAACAGAUGAAGGGAUGAGUUUCAUUAAAAUACAUAACAAUACAUGUACCUAUUUGCAUUGAUGGAUGGAUCACAAACAUUUAAGUAGUUUCCUUGCAUUUGGGGAGUCUGCUAUUACUGUUCAUAGUGAUAUAAUAAUGAUUGUAUUGUUUUUUGGUCAAUGAAUACUGAGAGUGUGGUUUGGCUGCAAUACAAUACAGGUAUAGUAUAUGACUCUGAGGUACAGACUAGCCAUUGCUGCUCCACACUUGAAAGAAUAACAAGAACAGAAGUAGAAAAAUAUAAACACUUUAUGAUGAACAAAUUAAAGAAGGAGAAGUAGAUGAAUAAAAGGAGAAAGUGAAAACGAGAAUAGUGCAAAGAUUGAAAUGAAAAAUAUUUUAUUUUAUGAACUAUCAGCAGGCAACAUUACAGAAGGUGGUUUUAAUGUCAUGUUGUGUUUGUUCUUAACCUUCAGUCAACAGUGCAGGUACAUUCCUACACCUCCAGUUACCUGAAUUAUUUUGCCCAAGCUUCUUGUUUCUCACUUAUAGAUCUACUGUAGUUACUUGUUUACUACAGCUGUAAUGUUAUACAGCAUUGUGCUGAGUAACACUGGACUGUGAACUAGUGUUUACCAUUAUUUAUAUACCAAAACUGACUACUGUACAUAAUGUAUAUUGCUUAACUACUAUGAACUUGUAUGACAACUUAAUGAAUACUAUUGUAUCUCCAGAAUACUGUAUGCUUAAUUCAAUAAUAAAAAACCCAAUAAG